UUUCAGAAGUAUGGUGGACACGUUUAAAGUUUUGGGGAGUACCAUCCUGGGGUCUCCAGCUAGUGGAAUUCAAAACACAAUU
rnacentral:sRNA from 1 species